rnacentral:tRNA from 1 species
GUCUUCGUGGUGUAAUGGUUAGCACGCUCGGCGCGUUAUCGAGAGGUUCGUGGUUCGAGUCCCCGCGAGGGCA